UACGAGGGGGCGAGCGUUGUUCGGAAUUAUUGGGCGUAAAGGGUGCGUAGGCGGUUUGGUAAGUCUCUUGUGAAAUCUAUGGGCUCAACUCAUAGUCUGCAAGGGAAACUGCCGGGCUUGAGUGUGGGAGAGGUGGAGUGGAAUUUCCGGUGUAGCGGUGAAAUGCGUAGAUAUCGGAAGGAACACCUGUGGCGAAAGCGGCUCACUGGACCACAACUGACGCUGAUGCACGAAAGCUAGGGGAGCAAACAGG
rnacentral:rRNA from 1 species